rnacentral:rRNA from 2 species
CUGACCUCGGAUCAGGUAGGAAUACCCGCUGAACUUAAGCAUAUCAAUAAGCGGAGGA